ACAUCUUUAGCUAAAUUGGUUAAAGCAUUUGCCUUCGAAGCAAAAGAUUAUGAGUUCGAAUCUCAUAGGGUGUU
rnacentral:tRNA from 1 species